UAUCCUGUCUGAAUAUGGGGGGACCAUCCUCCAAGGCUAAAUACUCCUGACUGACCGAUAGUGAACCAGUACCGUGAGGGAAAGGCGAAAAGAACCCCGGCGAGGGGAGUGAAACAGAACCUGAAACCGUGUACGUACAAGCAGUGGGAGCAUGAGUUUACUCAUGUGACUGCGUACCUUUUGUAUAAUGGGUCAGCGACUUAUAUUCUGUAGCAAGGUUAACCGUAUAGGGGAGCCGCAGGGAAACCGAGUCUUAAUUGGGCGUUAAGUUGCAGGGUAUAGACCCGAAACCCGGUGAUCUAGCCAUGGGCAGGUUGAAGGUUGGGUAACACUAACUGGAGGACCGAACCGACUAAUGUUGAAAAAUUAGCGGAUGACCUGUGGCUGGGGGUGAAAGGCCAAUCAAACCGGGAGAUAGCUGGUUCUCCCCGAAAGCUAUUUAGGUAGCGCCUCGUGAACUCAUCUCCGGGGGUAGAGCACUGUUUCGGCCAGGGGGCCAUCCCGGCUUACCAACCCGAUGCAAACUGCGAAUACCGGAGAAUGUUAUCACGGGAGACACACGGCGGGUGCUAACGUCCGUCGUGAAGAGGGAAACAACCCAGACCGCCAGCUAAGGUCCCAAAGUCAUGGUUAAGUGGGAAACGAUGUGGGAAGGCCCAGACAGCCAGGAUGUUGGCUUAGAAGCAGCCAUCAUUUAAAGAAAGCGUAAUAGCUCACUGGUCGAGUCGGCCUGCGCGGAAGAUGUAACGGGGCUAAACCAUGCACCGAAGCUGCGGCAGCGACACUGUGUGUUGUUGGGUAGGGGAGCGUUCUGUAAGCCUGCGAAGGUGUGCUGUGAGGCAUGCUGGAGGUAUCAGAAGUGCGAAUGCUGACAUAAGUAACGAUAAUGCGGGUGAAAAACCCGCACGCCGGAAGACCAAGGGUUCCUGUCCAACGUUAAUCGGGGCAGGGUGAGUCGACCCCUAAGGCGAGGCCGAAAGGCGUAGUCGAUGGGAAACAGGUUAAUAUUCCUGUACCUGGUGUUACUGCGAAGGGGGGACGGAGAAGGCUAUGUUGGCCGGGCGACGGUUGUCCCGGUUUAAGCGUGUAGGCUGGUUUUCCAGGCAAAUCCGGAAAAUCAAGGCUGAGGCGUGAUGACGAGGCACUACGGUGCUGAAGCAACAAAUGCCC
rnacentral:rRNA from 2 species